rnacentral:rRNA from 1 species
GCCCUAAAGUGGGGGAUAACAUUUGGAAACAGAUGCUAAUACCGCAUAAAACCUAGCACCGCAUGGUGCAAGGUUGAAAGAUGGUUUCGGCUAUCACUUUAGGAUGGACCCGCGGUGCAUUAGUUAGUUGGUGAGGUAAAGGCUCACCAAGACCGUGAUGCAUAGCCGACCUGAGAGGGUAAUCGGCCACACUGGGACUGAGACACGGCCCAGACUCCUACGGGAGGCAGCAGUAGGGAAUCUUCCACAAUGGACGAAAGUCUGAUGGAGCAACGCCGCGUGAGUGAAGAAGGUUUUCGGAUCGUAAAACUCUGUUGUUGGAAAAGAACGUAUUUGAUAGUAACUGAUCAGGUAGUGACGGUAUCCAACCAGAAAGCCACGGCUAACUACGUGCCAGCAGCCGCGGUAAUACGUAGGUGGCAAGCGUUGUCCGGAUUUAUUGGGCGUAAAGCGAGCGCAGGCGGUUUCUUAAGUCUGAUGUGAAAGCCUUCGGCUCAACCGAAGAAGUGCAUCGGAAACUGGGAAACUUGAGUGCAGAAGAGGACAGUGGAACUCCAUGUGUAGCGGUGAAAUGCGUAAAUAUAUGGAAGAACACCAGUGGCGAAGGCGGCUGUCUGGUCUGUAACUGACGCUGAGGCUCGAAAGCAUGGGUAGCAAACAGGAUUAGAUACCCUGGUAGUCCAUGCCGUAAACGAUGAGUGCUAGGUGUUGGAGGGUUUCCGCCCUUCAGUGCCGCAGCUAACGCAUUAAGCACUCCGCCUGGGGAGUACGACCGCAAGGUUGAAACUCAAAGGAAUUGACGGGGGCCCGCACAAGCGGUGGAGCAUGUGGUUUAAUUCGAAGCAACGCGAAGAACCUUACCAGGUCUUGACAUCCUUUGACCACUCUAGAGAUAGAGCUUUCCCUUCGGGGACAAAGUGACAGGUGGUGCAUGGUUGU